rnacentral:rRNA from 1 species
GUGCCAGCCGCCGCGGUAAUACGUAGGGGGCAAGCGUUGUCCGGAAUCAUUGGGCGUAAAGCGCGUGUAGGCGGCCAGGUAAGUCCGUUCUGAAAGCCCGGGGCUCAACCCCGGGAGGCGGAUGGAUACUGCUUGGCUCGAGUCCGGAAGAGGCGAGUGGAAUUCCCGGUGUAGCGGUGAAAUGCGCAGAUAUCGGGAGGAACACCAAUGGCGAAGGCAGCUCGCUGGGACGGUACUGACGCUGAGACGCGAAAGCGUGGGGAGCAAACAGGAUUAGAUACCCGUGUAGUCC